rnacentral:SRP_RNA from 2 species
CCGUGCUAGGCGGGGAGCUAGCGGUGCCCUGUACCCGAAAACCGCUAUAGCGGGGCUGAAUCCCUGCUUGAGGUUUACAGCUUGCAGAUUAUCUAUGUUAAGUGGCGUUGAUAGUUGGGUUCUAUACAACCAGACGCUACGAAUCCCGCCAGGUCCGGAAGGAAGCAGCGGUAAGUAGCAUUUCUGGUGUGCUAUAGAGUUGCCUGGCUGGAGCUGGCUGGCAAAAGACAUCUAGCAAGUUUAGGAAUCGAGGGCAGGUGCACGG